AGGGUUGUGGCUCAGUGGUAGAGCACUCACUUAGCAAGUGUGAGGCGCUGAGUUCGAUCUUCAGCACCACAU
rnacentral:tRNA from 1 species